GACGAACGCUGGCGGCGUGCCUAAUACAUGCAAGUUGAGCGCUGAAGGCUGGUACUUGUACCAACUGGAUGAGCAGCGAACGGGUGAGUAACGCGCGGGGAAUCUGCCUUUGAGCGGGGGACAACAUUUGGAAACGAAUGCUAAUACCGCAUAAAAACUUUAAACACAAGUUUUAAGUUUGAAAGAUGCAAUUGCAUCACUCAAAGAUGAUCCCGCGUUGUAUUAGCUAGUUGGUGAGGUAAAGGGUCACCAAGGCGAUGAUACAUAGCCGACCUGAGAGGGUGAUCGGCCACCUUGGGACUGAGACACGGCCCAAACUCCUACGGGAGGCAGCAGUAGUGAAUCUUCGGCAAUCGACGAAAGUCUGACCGAGCAACGCCGCGUGAGUGAAGAACGUUUUCGGAUCGUAAAACUCUGUUGGUAGAGAAGAAAGUUGGUGAGAGUGGAAAGCUCAUCAAGUGACGUUAACUACCCAGAAAGGGACGGCUAACUACGUG
rnacentral:rRNA from 1 species